ACACCGGCCGGGUGACUUGUCAAAAAUCAGCUGUAUAAUUAAAAAUUGUAAUAAAAUAGAAUAAUUAGCUAAAUCGCCCUAAAAAGUUGAUAAUUUAAUAGUAAUAGUCGUAAAUAUAGUGUACAAAUGUUUGUGACGUUAUUGCAAAAGGAUAACUCGUAAAAAUCUACACAACACGGAGGCGGUCAGCUGUCAACCGCUCAGUUCAAAUUAAUCGGAUUUUAACGGGAAGUAUCUCUCUAUUAUAACUGUAACACGCUAUAUUAUACUAAUUCUCGUGCAGUAGAUUAUGUUAUUUACUAUAAAAGUGAGAAUAACGGAAAAAAAAUAAAAAAUAAUAUCAAUUUUGUAACCUACCUUAUCUUAGAAAAUUAAAAAUUAAAAUCAAAUAAAACUAAAGAAGUCCCAAUACAUUCUUGAUUCUCAUAUAAGUUACAUGUUCCUUUAAUAGUAACUUCUGUUACAUUACACAUUGAAGGCAAAUUAUAGAUAUUAUAUGUUAACAAAAUCUAUAGCUACACUUCAAUUUUGUACUUAAUUUUCUAUCAAUUAAAUCAAACUCAUUCUUUUCCAUGCUAUAUAAUCUUGAAACUACUAAAUUCAUAUUUUAAAUAAUCCAACACCUAAGCCUAUUACCUAUAACUAUUCUUUUCUGUCUUUCUCAUCUUGUUUACUCCACGCUUUCAGUAAAUACCUGACACCAUGUUCGUUAUGACAAGGAAGGCCACUGCCAAGGACAUGGAGGUGAAACUGAAGUUAGCCCUGGAAAAGCUCAAAACAUCCGAAGAGCUCUGUCAACAACUGUUAAGGGAACGUGAUGACAGCGAGGAAGAAAUUCAGAAAAUAAUUAAUAAACGCAGAUGGCAGCUCUGAAGUGGAACAAAAGUGCUUUAUUUUUUGUAUUUUUCGGUGUUUUAAAUUAAUAAUUGAUAAAAUAGAAUUGUAUAAUUGUAAAAUAAAUUAAUAAUAAUUAAAUUGUAAUAGACAGCUGUGUUGCUGGGAAGUUUGUUCUUCACCACUUCUUCUUUCCAGCCAUAACACUAGGAAGUGGUGAAAGGGGGGCGUUUUGGGGGUGCUGUCAUUGUAAAAUUUUGACGUUAAAAAGUGCUAAUCGUAUUAGCCUAUUUUAAUAAAUGAUUUUGACUUUGA